rnacentral:rRNA from 1 species
UACGUAGGGGGCAAGCGUUGUCCGGAUUUAUUGGGCGUAAAGAGCGUGUAGGCGGCUUGUUAGGUCCGUUGUGAAAACUCGAGGCUCAACCUCGAGACGUCGAUGGAAACCAUCUGGCUAGAGUCCGGAAGAGGAGAGUGGAAUUCCUGGUGUAGCGGUGAAAUGCGCAGAUAUCAGGAGGAACACCGGUGGCGAAGGCGGGUCUCUGGGCCGAUACUGACGCUGAGGAGCGAAAGCGUGGGGAGCGAACAGG